rnacentral:rRNA from 1 species
CCUACGGGUGGCAGCAGUGGGGAAUAUUGGACAAUGGGCGAAAGCCUGAUCCAGCCAUGCCGCGUGUGUGAAGAAGGCCUUCGGGUUGUAAAGCACUUUCAGUGGGGAAGAAAGCCUUGGGGCUAAUACCCUCGAGGAAGGACAUCACCCACAGAAGAAGCACCGGCUAACUCCGUGCCAGCAGCCGCGGUAAUACGGAGGGUGCGAGCGUUAAUCGGAAUUACUGGGCGUAAAGCGCGCGUAGGCGGUCUGAUAAGCCGGUUGUGAAAGCCCCGGGCUCAACCUGGGAACGGCAUCCGGAACUGUCAGGCUAGAGUGCAGGAGAGGAAGGUGGAAUUCCCGGUGUAGCGGUGAAAUGCGUAGAGAUCGGGAGGAAUACCAGUGGCGAAGGCGGCCUUCUGGACUGACACUGACGCUGAGGUGCGAAAGCGUGGGUAGCAAACAGGAUUAGAUACCCGAGUGUC